rnacentral:rRNA from 1 species
ACGCUGGCGGCGCGCUUAACACAUGCAAGUCGAACGAUGAAGCUGGAGCUUGCUCCAGUGGAUUAGUGGCGAACGGGUGAGUAACACGUGAGAAAUCUGCCCCUGACUCUGGGAUAACUGCGGGAAACUGUAGCUAAUACCGGAUACUUUCCCCGGUGGGCAUCCACUGGGGAAGAAAGAAUUUCGGUCAGGGAGGAUCUCGCGGCCUAUCAGCUUGUUGGUGAGGUAACGGCUCACCAAGGCGACGACGGGUAACCGGCCUGAGAGGGUGACCGGUCACACUGGGACUGAGACACGGCCCAGACUCCUACGGGAGGCAGCAGUGGGGAAUUUUGGACAAUGGGCGCAAGCCUGAUCCAGCAAUACCGCGUGCAGGAAGAAGGCCUUCGGGUUGUAAACUGCUUUUGUACGGAACGAAAAGGUCCUGGUUAAUACCUGGGGCUCAUGACGGUACCGUAAGAAUAAGCACCGGCUAACUACGUGCCAGCAGCCGCGGUAAUACGUAGGGUGCGAGCGUUAAUCGGAAUUACUGGGCGUAAAGCGUGCGCAGGCGGUUAUGUAAGACAGGUGUGAAAUCCCCGAGCUCAACUUGGGAAUUGCACUUGUGACUGCAUAACUAGAGUGCGGCAGAGGGGGAUGGAAUUCCGCGUGUAGCAGUGAAAUGCGUAGAUAUGCGGAGGAACACCGAUGGCGAAGGCAAUCCCCUGGGCCUGCACUGACGCUCAUGCACGAAAGCGUGGGGAGCAAACAGGAUUAGAUACCCUGGUAGUCCACGCCCUAAACGAUGUCAACUGGUUGUUGGGAAUUCACUUUCUCAGUAACGAAGCUAACGCGUGAAGUUGACCGCCUGGGGAGUACGGCCGCAAGGUUGAAACCCAAAGGAAUUGACGGGGGCCCGCACAAGCGGCGGAGCAUGCGGAUUAAUUCGAUGCAACGCGAAGAACCUUACCAAGGCUUGGCAUAUAGAGGAAAAGUGCAGAAAUGCACUCCCCGCAAGGUCUCUAUACAGGUGGUGCAUGGUUGUCGUCAGCUCGUGUCGUGAGAUGUUGGGUUAAGUCCCGCAACGAGCGCAACCCUCGUCCUAUGUUGCCAGCACGUUAUGGUGGGAACUCAUGGGAUACUGCCGGGGUCAACUCGGAGGAAGGUGGGGAUGACGUCAAAUCAUCAUGCCCCUUAUGUCUUGGGCUUCACGCAUGCUACAAUGGCCGGUACAGAGGGCUGCAAUACCGUAAGGUGGAGCGAAUCCCAAAAAGCCGGUCUCAGUUCGGAUUGAGGUCUGCAACUCGACCUCAUGAAGUCGGAGUCGCUAGUAAUCGUAGAUCAGCAACGCUACGGUGAAUACGUUCCCGGGCCUUGUACACACCGCCCGUCAAGUCACGAAAGUCGAUAACACCCGAAGCCGGUGGCCUAACCGCAAGGAGGGAGCCGUCGAAGGUGGGAUUGGUGAUUGGGACU